UACGUAGGGCGCAAGCGUUGUCCGGAAUUAUUGGGCGUAAAGAGCUCGUAGGCGGCUUGUCACGUCUGCUGUGAAAUCCCGGGGCUUAACCCCGGGCGUGCAGUGGAUACGGGCUGGCUAGAGGCAGGCAGGGGAGAACGGAAUUCCUGGUGUAGCGGUGAAAUGCGCAGAUAUCAGGAGGAACACCGGUGGCGAAGGCGGUUCUCUGGGCCUGUUCUGACGCUGAGGAGCGAAAGCGUGGGGAGCAAACAGG
rnacentral:rRNA from 1 species